UUACGCUGCUGUAGAAAGAGUCAAGUGAAGGCACCGAUGUGCACCGGAUCGCCUGACAGCGAGGUCUAAGCUGAUCAGCUAGGAGCUGUCCUUUCAGCACCGUCUCGGCACCGGUCGCCCACAGCCUGUUUUCACGGAGGAUGAGGAUGAGGAUGAGGAUGAAGAAUGAAGGAGGAAGGAGGAAGGAUGAAGGCCGUCCUCGAGUGCACGAUUUGACAAGAGCGCCAACAGCAACGUGCAGCAAGCUCAACGAUCUGGACUUUGAUUGCUUGUAGUUAUUUAACCAUUGUCAAGACCAGCAGCGCCGCCGGAAGAGAAGGAGGACGCACUGGACGACGUGAAAAUGGACCUUUCGCUCCAGAAUCUCACUCACCAAGACCUGCUUUGAAUUGGCUCCGUUUGCUUAUUCAGCUGAUUCACGUCAUGUUACUUUUGUCAUGUACACGGUGGUCACGUGACACUUGCAGCCCAAAGAUGACGUGUCAGGGGCGUGGCCAGGACACUGCCAUGGGCGGAGCUACCGCCUGCACCCCUGCACCGGAUUGACACUAAUUAGGGCACACAUCGAAGCCUUGACUUUGCCACUUGCUCGUGGUUGAGACCGUUGCAGUCUGUGCCGACGGGCUUCUUGUUAUGUGGCGGCCUCGUUGUCGCUGUUCUUGUGCCACCACACCUAAGUCCAGUCUUCUUUUUUGCCUAAAAGUAAUUCAACCACAUUUUCAUGUUUUUGGACCUUUGCCGUUGCCUCGUGUUUUUGUGCCUCUGCUUUUUUUUUUUUUUUUUUUUUUUUUUUGGGGGGGGGGGGGACUGCUUACCUGUGUAUGACCUCUACCUGGAUUAAAACCAUCCUCGACAUCAUGUCACUGCCUCGGAUUCCCGCGUUUGGGUCCGGCCCCGUGCCGUACGAGCUUGGCAGGAUUGAGUGGGGUUCAAACCAAGUAGUGCAGUGCGACAAAGCUGAACGCCGGAGGAUCAAUUGCCCUUAUGAUGAACACGGACAUUUGAAAAUAUACCUGCCCAAGAAGCUUCUUGAAUGUCUCCCAAAAUGCACCUCGCUGCCGAAGGAGAGGCACCGGUGGAACACCAAUGAGAGACAUCCAUGCUCUCUCAUACUCUGACCCCUGACCUCCUGCACAUGCUUGCCCAUUCCCGCUUGAUUCUCUGCAGUGCAAAUGGAGGGCGGACAGGAGACGUCUUAAAAAAUAAAGAUGAAAGGCAACCGGGAGAGACCCGCACAGCAGACAAAUAAGACCCAACUCCACUCCGGCCACUUUUUCCAUUUUCGUGGCGGCACCAGAAACGGAGGAGACCCAGACUUCAGUUGUUUUCUCACUCCCACUCAUUGGCGAGUGGGCAAAUCCCUACGAUUGGUAUAAAGGUAUGAUGGCUGCCUGGGGCGGGGGCUCCCCUCUCGUGGCCCGUGGCCGCUCCCCGAGUUCCCACCCUCAUCGUUCUCUUGUCGGGUGCCCCUAACCGCCCCCCUUUCCCAGCAAAUAACAAACUUUUAUCGGAUGCAUACAUGCCCUCACAUGUUUUUCACCUUCCAAGUGGAGUUAUUGUAGGCUGAAAUGCUGACAUUUUCAGACACGCCAUAGCUUUCUUUUCAGUGUUGUUAGCCACACAUUUUCUAUAAAAGCUUAUCCUCACUCGUGGGUGAGCUGCAGCCGAACUUGUAAGGGAGAUGCAGACUACGGCCAUGUUUCAUGGAAAUAUGUCCCUUGGAAAAUUUUUGGAUUCUGUUUGCAAAAUUUGUGUGAGUGACGUUGUUUGAUUGAUUGAAUGGAGUCAGAUGCAACUAAGUUGGAUUGGUGAAACGGAAUUAUGCAUGUGGUACAAGUCUCACUCCUGAAACCAAAAAAAAAAAAAACACCGCAACCUGCAAGCGGGCAGAAUGUGCCAGCUCACUGUAAAAAAUGGCAUUUUUUCCCCCAACAAAAGUACUCCAGCAAUCGUAAAAAGUAAGUUGCGCCAAAGCUACUCUGACAAAUAUGAUUUUCCCCCCAAAGUUAGUGAAAUGCAUGU